UACGUAGGGUGCAAGCGUUAAUCGGAAUUACUGGGCGUAAAGCGUGCGCAGGCGGUUUUGUAAGACUGUCGUGAAAUCCCCGGGCUCAACCUGGGAAUGGCGAUGGUGACUGCAAGGCUAGAGUUUGGCAGAGGGGGGUAGAAUUCCACGUGUAGCAGUGAAAUGCGUAGAUAUGUGGAGGAACACCGAUGGCGAAGGCAGCCCCCUGGGUCAAAACUGACGCUCAUGCACGAAAGCGUGGAGAGCAAACAGG
rnacentral:rRNA from 1 species